UACGGGGGGGGCAAGCGUUGUUCGGAAUUACUGGGCGUAAAGGGUUCGUAGGUGGCCAACUAAGUCAGACGUGAAAUCCCUCAGCUUAACUGGGGAACUGCGUCUGAUACUGGUUGGCUUGAGUGCAGGAGAGGAAUGCGGAAUUCCAGGUGUAGCGGUGAAAUGCGUAGAUAUCAGGAGGAACACCGGUGGUGUAGACGGCUUUCUGGACCGUAACUGACGCUGAAACACGAAAGCGUGGGUAGCAAACAGG
rnacentral:rRNA from 1 species